CGAGGACGGGCUGGGAGUGGGCGGGACUCCGCCGAGGGGCGGGGCCAGAGGACGGACCGAGGCCUCCAGGGAAGCGGGACCAGGUGAGGGGAAAGUCGGACCAGCAAGUGGGGCGGCGGCGGGGGUACCCGUGACCACCAGCGAAGGUGCGCUACCCAGCGCUCGGUCCCGCACAGGCUAGGAGGACUAGCAUGAAGACCCGCAGCUGCAGGGGCCAGAACAGAAAGCGCUUGUUAAAAGAUAUAUCUGUUUUGCUUUGUACGGCACAGGGAUACACAUUCAGGAUUGUCAUGUCUUCUGGUAAGUGAACUUUUUAAUCAUUCUACAGUUUUCUCCCUGGCAAUUUUAUCUUGUUC
rnacentral:lncRNA from 1 species